AGCCAACCUCCCACUCUGCAGUAAAGAGGCCAUGCUGAGCAUUCGAGUGGGCAAAGAGAAGCAAGAUCGACCCCAGGCCUGGAACGCAGCCUCUGAAUCUGAAACAGCACAGAAUUUCUCAAGGCAGACAGAAGAGGCUUAACAACCAAGAACAACUGCCAGCUCCAAGGAAUCCCAUGCCCUUAACUCUCUUACCACCUUCCGCUGGUCCCUGUGCAUUUGGCAUACACUCAUGUGCGUAUGUAUGCAUAUAAAUAAAAAUGUGAAAACAGAAAA
rnacentral:lncRNA from 1 species